GCCAGGCACAGUGGUGCGUGCCUGUAGUCCCAGCUACUCGGGAGGCUGAGGUGGGAGGAUCGCUUGAGCCCAGGAGUUCUGGGCUGUAGUGCUCUAUGCCAAUCGGGUGUCCACACUAAGUUCGGCAUCAAUAUGGUGACCUCCCAGGAGUGGGGACCACCAGGUUGCCUAAGGAGGGGUGAACCGGCCCAGGUUGGAAACGGAACAGGUCAAAACUCCCGUGCUCAUCAGUAGUGGGAUCGCGCCUGUGAAUACCCACUGCCCUCCAGCCUGGGCAACAUAGUGAGACCCUGUUUCUU
ensembl:misc_RNA Metazoa_SRP Metazoan signal recognition particle RNA